rnacentral:rRNA from 1 species
AGUGAACGCUGGCGGUAGGCCUAACACAUGCAAGUCGAACGGCAGCACAGUAAGAGCUUGCUCUUACGGGUGGCGAGUGGCGGACGGGUGAGGAAUACAUCGGACUCUACUUUUUCGUGGGGGAUAACGUAGGGAAACUUACGCUAAUACCGCAUACGACCUACGGGUGAAAGCAGGGGAUCUUCGGACCUUGCGCGAUUGAAUGAGCCGAUGUCGGAUUAGCUAGUUGGCGGGGUAAAGGCCCACCAAGGCGACGAUCCGUAGCUGGUCUGUGAGGAUGAUAGGCCACACUGGAACUGAGACACGGUCCAGACUCCUACGGGAGGCAGCAGUGGGGAAUAUUGGACAAUGGGCGCAAGCCUGAUCCAGCCAUACCGCGUGGGUGAAGAAGGCCUUCGGGUUGUAAAGCCCUUUUGUUGGUAAAGAAAAGCAGCAGGUUAAUACCCCGCUGUUCUGACGGUACCCAAAGAAUAAGCACCGGCUAACUUCGUG